GAAGGAAGGAAGGAAGGAAGGAAGGAAGGAACAACCCAACUGUCCAUCAAUAGGUGUCUUGCAGCUCAGCCUCUUUGGAGUGUUCAUCUAGACCUCUGCUCAAGAUGGCUGUCUACUGAGUACUUGAAGAAGGUGACCCUGUUCCUGCUAAUCCUUCUCACCAUGAGUUCCAGGCCAUUCCAGGCUACAUCACCGCAGUCCUGCAUGACAAGGAGAGCAUCUAACGACAUCAACCUUCACUACCCCAGUCUGCCCACGUGUUCUCUGAUGGAUCCACGGCCAGGUAAGUGAUCUUUUAAAAAUGUAAACUAGAUUCUGUCAUCUGUCCCUUACAACCCAUUAAUGCUGAUGCAGUGGGGCACUCUGGACCAUAUCCCAGGACAGGAAAAGGAUAUUGGUGGAAAACCCAUGAAAUCUGAAUAAAGUCUGGAGUUAAUAGUAAUGUGCCAGUGUCGGUUUCUUAGUUUUGAUUAAUGGACGGUGGUUACGUAAGACGUUAACAUUAGGGGAAAGUGGGUCAGGAGUACACAGGCACUCUCUGUGGUACCUCUGCAACUUUUCUGUAAAUGUAAAACUGUUCCAAAAUUAAGUUUAUUCAAAAAAAAAAAUGAGUGGCACCGAUUUCCCUGAGGUCAGAGUACCAAAUCUUCAACAUGACCAGCUUUCUCUCUCCAGCCAGACUAAACUUAUUUAAUUCUUCCAGGGAGAUAAGCCUCUUCCCUGCCUCCAAGUAUUCACAGUGUCUGGCCCAUUAAUAAAUGCUUGAUAAAUAUUUGUUGAAAAUUAAUGAACAUUUUUAAAACCAAAGAGUCACUAUAAAUUUGGGGAUGGGUAGAUCUUGAGAAUUUGUAAGCUGAGUUGGGUUUUUAGUAGGAAUCAGAAUAGCCCAGGCAAUGCUUGAACUGUGUGGUAUGCGACUACCCUAUGCUGUCCUCUCCUCCCUGUCUCUGCCCUCCAGACUGCUAUCCUUGAAAUUCAGCACCAGCCCCCUCCCAGUUCUGGAGACCAGGUGCCCAUUUAUGUUAAUGGGAGAAAGAAAAGGGGUCUUCUCCCCUCCUGAGAACGAUCUUCUUCCACCCACUCUGCCCCUGUCGCGCCUCCCACAACCCACUUGUAGACAGACAGCAGUGGGUUUCUGGAAACAGUGCUGCCUCCUCUCAGGUGAUCACUACUAGAGUUAUUCCGAUGGCAGGAAUUUCAAGCCGGGUAAGAGGAGCCAUGCCAGGCUGCCAGAUGGUGGGGGAGAUAAAUGUGGGCGAGCAAGCUUCAGACUAAAGCAAGGGAGAGGGGAUCGGGUGUUGUAAUCACAGUCAAGAAAAGGAGUCAGGUGACCCUCAUUACAUAGUAUAGAGCCCUGUUAUAAUAUCCCUUAUUACUACUCGAACUUGGAUUUAACCUGGGACAAACCCUUUUCUUCUCCUGCUUCUGCCUUCCCACCCUAGGUUAUAGCUCUUUCCCUGCGAAGUCAUCACUCUUAAUAAUGAUAAUACUAAGAAAUAACUGUUAACUAAUGGCUUUAGGUCAUCUAAGAUGUCACAGCCAGAACAUUUUGCCCAGUUUUUCAUAUGAGCAAACGCAUUCCCAAGGUCACAUGCAGCUGAGAACAGACAGAUCUGGGAUUCAAACUCAGGUCUUUCUGGCUCAGAAACUCUUGUCCUGUUCUCCUGAGGAUGACGUAGGGGGGAUUUGCUCUAAACCCUACAUCUUUUUUAAUUUUUUUUUUUACAUUUAUUUAUUUUUGAGAAACAGAGUGAGACAAAGCAU